GGAGGAAAGUAGGGGAUCGUAAGACCUUGCGCUUUUGGAGUGGCCGAUGCCUGAUUAGCUAGUUGGUGGGGUAAGAGCCUACCAAGGCGACGAUCAGUAGUUGGUCUGAGAGGACGACCAGCCACACUGGGACUGAGACACGGCCCAGACUCCUACGGGAGGCAGCAGUGGGGAAUUUUGGACAAUGGGCGAAAGCCUGAUCCAGCAAUGCCGCGUGAGUGAAGAAGGCCUUCGGGUUGUAAAGCUCUUUCAGUCGAGAAGAAAAGGUUGCGACUAAUAAUCGCAACUUAUGACGGUAUCGACAGAAGAAGCACCGGCUAACUACGUGCCAGCAGCCGCGGUAAUACGUAGGGUGCGAGCGUUAAUCGGAAUUACUGGGCGUAAAGGGUGCGCAGGCGGCUCCGUAAGUCAGAUGUGAAAUCCCCGGGCUUAACCUGGGAAUUGUGUUUGAAACUACAAAGCUAGA
rnacentral:rRNA from 1 species